UUUCACUUUGAAGUUCAUUCUUCGAAUCCUUGAGUGUAUUUAUCUCCUCACCAAGUUUCUGUAUAAGCACCUCAGAGGACUGGUUUUGUUCUGUAUGGCGCUCAACAUCCUUCUUCAGGUCACAAACAGUGUCCUCAAGGACCUCCAUUUCCAACUGCAUCUUUGAGAGUUCUAACUCCAAAUCAGAUACUUUCUGUAAAUACUGCUGUUGCUGAAGGAGUGCUGCAUCCUUCUCCGAGUUCAAACCUAAAAUGGUCUUAUUCAGUUCUUUCAGUAUGCUCUCCAGGUCUAACUUAUUAUUUUCCAACUCACUGAGCUUCUUUGUUGACCUGUCAAAAUCUUGUGUCAACAUUUGCAUUUCUUCUUGCAACUGGGAAUGCAGACCCUCUGUCAUGAGAAGAGUUGCUUCAAUUUGCAUACGCCUAUGGCAUUCAUCUUGCAGCUUGAUAUGGACAUUGUCCGCUUCUUCUUUCUUCUUUUCAAGAUCAUGUGUCAGCAACUGUACUUUCUGCUCAAUCUCAUCUAGCUCUGAGUGUAGCUUCGACAGCUGAGACUCGAGUACCGAAACCAGCUCUAUAGACUGCUGGUGUUGAAGCACAGCUGCAUUCUUCUCAGUGUUUAGCUGUGAAAUGAUGCUCUUAAGGCUUUGUAUUUCACUUUGAAGUUCAUUCUUCGAAUCCUUGAUUGUAUUUAUCUCCUCACCAAGUUUCUGUAUAAGCACCUCAGAGGACUGGUUUUGUUCUGUAUGGCGCUCAACAUCCUUCUUCAGCUCACAAACAGUGUCUUCAAGGACCUCCAUUUCCAACUGCAUCUUUGAGAGUUCUAACUCCAAAUCAGAUACUUUCUGUAAAGACUGCUGUUGCUGAAGGAGUGUUGCAUCCUUCUCC
rnacentral:lncRNA from 1 species